GGGUCGUUAGCUCAGUAGGUAGAGCAGUUGACUUUUAAUCAAUUGGUCGCAGGUUCGAAUCCUGCACGACCCACCA
rnacentral:tRNA from 3 species